GCGACGCUGCGCUGUCUACGCCACGCCGCCGUCCCAAGUCCACCGCCGCCCGAUCCGACACGGGGCGGCCGCGAAGAAAGGC
rfam:Olsenella sp. An188 An188_contig_4, whole genome shotgun sequence.